rnacentral:rRNA from 1 species
CCUACGGGGAGCAGCAGUGGGGAAUAUUGGACAAUGGGCGAAAGCCUGAUCCAGCCAUGCCGCGUGUGUGAAGAAGGCCUUCGGGUUGUAAAGCACUUUCAGUGGGGAAGAAAGCCUUGGGGCUAAUACCCUCGAGGAAGGACAUCACCCACAGAAGAAGCACCGGCUAACUCCGUGCCAGCAGCCGCGGUAAUACGGAGGGUGCGAGCGGUAAUCGGAAUUACUGGGCGUAAAGCGCGCGUAGGCGGUCUGAUAAGCCGGUUGUGAAAGCCCCGGGCUCAACCUGGGAACGGCAUCCGGAACUGUCAGGCUAGAGUGCAGGAGAGGAAGGUAGAAUUCCCGGUGUAGCGGUGAAAUGCGUAGAGAUCGGGAGGAAUACCAGUGGCGAAGGCGGCCUUCUGGACUGACACUGACGCUGAGGUGCGAAAGCGUGGGUAGCAAACAGGACUAGAUACCCUGGUAGUC